ACAUUGUAAAAUGAUUAUAACUCAAUAAAAAAAAUGUUUAAAAAAAGAAAAAGAAAGUCACUGAUUGCCCCUGAGCUUGAAAGUAAAAUGUCAGAGUUUUAAGAUGUAUGUGUGAAUAUAUAUACACAUCUAUAUAUAAACACAUACCCCUACUGCUGCGGGAGAGGGACUGGGAGCUAUAAUUAAAGGCAUUCUGUGGUGGGAGGAAAGGGAAGUUAGAACAAUAUUUUGCCUCCAGGACAACACACUCUGUUCUGCAUUGAUGCUCUUUUGAUAAAGCUGAUCCUCCCAGCGCGGUGUGGGAGCGGGAGCGGGGCUGCCUUCCAGCCUCAGGGACGGAGCGCCUUCCGGGGAGGACGCCAGUGCUGGAGUCUGUGAAGAUAGCAGCCCGUCUGUCCCUCCCUCCCCGAAAAGCUUGCCGACCACUGGACUCCGCCAUCUGUUUUGUACCAAAGCUGUGAUGUUCCGUGUCUCUCCUUACAUCGGAUUGAUUCAGAAAUCCCCGCCGCUUUGUGGGUCUGUAACAGAGAGGGCGGGAAUCGGGAUACUGCUGGGUUCUAACCUGGUCUUUCUAUUCCUCUCAUGCAGGGGCGGAUCUGUAGAAAAGCCGGCAAAUCAAAAAAGUCCUUCAGUCGCAAGGAAGCGGAAGCCACCUUUAAGAGUUUGGUGAAGACUCACGAAAAAUACGGCUGGGUGACCCCGCCCGUCUCUGAUGGCUGAUGUCUGCGACAUGCAUUAGACGCUUAAGCCACCUCUCCACUCACAGAUACCCGACAUCUCCUCCCCUACGCUGAGCAUCCUUCAUCCUUUUUUACUACAGCCAGAACUGAAUCCUGAAUGCCAAGGACACGUUUAAGUUAUUUAUGAUCAGAUGUGUUUACAGAGAGAAAGAGGGAGCAAAUGCUGUUCGGGAUUAAGUUUCGAUUAUAAAUGAAUGAUCAUCCCUAAGUCACUUUAGAACAAAUGUCGAGAAGGUGACAUCCCCCUGCCCGCCUGCCCCUUCCCCACCCCAUCACUUUGCUCUCAGCUUCUUUCCAUGACAGCAGCUCCAAAGAGCAGGCAGGAAACUCAACGCCCCUUGCUCGACCCGUUUACACGUAAGUGGCACCGUUCACAUGUAAUAGGUACGGCCCGCAUCACCGGCACAUGUUCGCUGGGCUCGGUGUCUCUUUCUCUCUCUGGCAGGUCGAUGUAACUUGAAGACAUGUCUUUCUGUGGCCCUGUUCUAGUGAUUUAAAACCACAACUGCCCACUUGGUUACAGCGUGCUCCCAGCGCUGGUGCCAGCGCCCUGGGGUGAAAGUGGGGGUGCUCAGGCCCGGAGGGCGCACACAUGGUGCAGACGCCGGGGGCGGGCUCCCUGGGGCUCAGAGCAUCCUCGGCGGUCGGAUGCAGACAGUCUCUUCCGUUAUCCUGAAAUGCUCCUACGACCUUUGUGUUCCUGUCUUCUCUCUGCUGGUCAACCUACCACCAAAAGCAAAAGACAAUGUCCCAUUUGCUGAAGUCACCUGACUCAUUUUCUUAUGUGUGCUCGUGACAGGGAAUGCGAGAACUGCCAAAGGAGGCCCGGUGACUGUACGACGAUUUGCAUGACCCAGUAGUCACUGGUGUGUCCCCAAGGCUGGGAUGCGUGAGCGCCCUCGCUAUGAUAUAAACUUCUGUUAUUUAUCUCCCCACAAUUUCAUUUUCUCUUUUGUUCAGUUACUUAGAACUUUCUAAGAAACUCCAUGAAAUGAGGAAACACUGUUUAUAAUAAUGUGCGGAAAGAGGUUAAAUGUUCAUUCCAAGUGGAACAAUCUUAUUGGACACAUUUGAAAUAAAAUCAUGCAUACCUGACA